AUGGAUGCGGCGGGUCCUAGCCCGAAGCGGAGGAGAUCGGCCUCGCCCGGUGUGGAAGAAGACGGAGGAUGCGCCGACUACAUCAGCGCCCUCCCCGACGCCGUGCUCGGCGACAUCAUCUCCCUCCUCCCCACCAAGGAAGGCGCCCGCACCCGAAUCCUCGCGUCCCGGUGGCGCGACCUCUGGCUCUCCGCCCCUCUUAAUCUCGACUGCCGUGAGCUCACCGCCGGCAGGAAUGAAGUCCGCUCCGACGUCGUCUCCCGCAUCCUUUCCUCCCACCGGGGACCCGGCCGUCGUCUCUACAUCAACACCUGCAUCCACUGGAUACUAGCAGACACCGUGGAAGCUUGCCUCCGAUCCGCCGCUCUGGACAACCUUGAGGAGCUUGAUUUCAUCAACCAUCUGUUAGAGAAACCACAGCGGGCAUUGAUCCUCCGCUUCUCGCCCACCCUCCGUGUUGCCAACAUUGGUGGAUGCAACCUCUCGGACGUCAACUUCCAUGAGCUCCACCUUCACUUCCCCUUGCUUAAGCAGCUCGGUCUUGUAAAUGUCAUGAUCUCGGAGAGCUCGCUGCAUAGCCUGAUUGCCGGGUGCCCAGCUCUCGAGUGCUUGCUGAUUGACAUGUGCUCUGGCUUCCGCCGCAUCCGAAUAAACUCCCCAACUAUGAGAUGCAUGGCUGUGAGAGAAUAUGGGAUACCGAUAGAGUCACUGCUGCUUGAACAAAUCGUCAUUGAGAAAGCUCCUUGUCUUGUGAGGCUGCUCUUUGAGAGGGGCAGUAUUCUGCAGGUAACCGUACUCGCAGCUCCUAAACUGGAGACUUUAGGCUUCAUUAGUGAUAAGUGCAGGUCAGGUGAAUUGUCCAGACUCAUGAUUGGCUCCACUGUUCUUCAGGGAUUGUGUGUUGAUAACCUGAUAACAGUGGUACAAACUGUCAAGAUUUUGGCUCCUGAUAUGCACAAUCUUAGUUUGGAUACUGUUAUUGAAUUGAUGAGAUGCUUUCCGUGCUUGGAGAAGUUGUACAUUCAGUCAUUUCAAUCAAGACCGGGGAAUUUGUGGCGUCGUAAACACCGGAAUCUGUUAAAAUGUUUUGACAUGAGUCUGAAGACGUUAGUGUUACAACUAUAUCGGGGGAAGAAGUCGCAAAUUAACUUUCUUACAUUCUUUGUAUUGAAUGCGAAAGUGCUAGAGUCAGUGACACUUGGCAUCACAACCAGGAAUAACAAUGAGAAGUUCUUGGCAAAACAACGCAGGAAGCUUGAGCUAGAGAACAGGGUUUCCAGAGAUGCUCAGUUUCAUUUUAGAACUGGUAGUUGUGUCCGCAGUUCUUAUGAUAUCAAGCAUAUCGGUGAUUUGGAUUUAACUGAUCCAUUUGCACAUAUGUAG
rnacentral:rRNA from 1 species